rnacentral:rRNA from 1 species
GACGGAGGAUGCAAGUGUUAUCCGGAAUCACUGGGCGUAAAGCGUCUGUAGGUGGUCAAAUAAGUCAACUGUUAAAUCUUGAGGCUCAACCUCAAAAUCGCAGUCGAAACUAUUAGACUAGAGUAUAGUAGGGGUAAAGGGAAUUUCCAGUGGAGCGGUGAAAUGCGUAGAUAUUGGAAAGAACACCGAUGGCGAAGGCACUUUACUGGGCUAUUACUAACACUCAGAGACGAAAGCGAGGGGAGCAAAUGGG